rnacentral:snoRNA from 1 species
UCCAUCGCUGUCUUCAACGUUCCGACAAUAAAAGCAAUUUCUUCACCUGAAAUAACAAGCGGCGGUGCUAAUGUUAAAAAGUUAUUAUAACCUGCUG